AGCACCAGAUUCAAAACAUGCAAUGAGCUUCUACAGUCAGUAAAAAGGUAUACGUAUCAUAUACACGUGUGUUAAAUGUCUAUUAUAUAUGGAAGUUAAUACGUACCAGAGCUUGACAGAGUUGAUGAAGAAGGGAAAGAUGUCUCUGUGAAUGACAUGACAGAGUUAGAGAAGGAGCUUAAUGCUGCUCUUAUGCAUACACGUUCUAGAAAGACACAGUUAAUGAUGGAGCGCGUAUCAAGCCUUCGUGAACAGGAAAAGAAAUUAAGCGACGAGAAUAAAGAACUGAAUCGGCAGUUACAAGUGGCAUCAGCAGUAAACCAGUAUUGUUCACGUCCACCCCAAAAACUUCGAGCACUCCCUCUCUUCAAAGAUUAGCUACUUCCUUCACUACAAAUCUGUCUGUUUGUUGUACUCUACGAAUUAAUCAAUAAGCAUCUUCGAACGGAGUUAAUGGGAAAUAUAUAUAUAUAUAUGUAUAAUAUAUGUAUAUAAACUUGCACAUAUAUAUAUAGUAACUAAAUAAAUUAAUAUUGAUUCACCAAUAAAGCUUGUAUAUGUUUGCCGAUGAAGCUCUUGCAGUUGGCGUCUUCUAGAAAGAGAAAGCUACCUACGACAACUAUCAUAAAGAAACCCUG